rnacentral:rRNA from 1 species
GCCUUGCGCCCAUUGCUUAUUUUACCGUCCGCCAUGACCCACCUUCUUAAAAGCCUGCCUUUCUUCCCAACUUAAAGGCCGUUCCAACCGCAAGGCUUUCUUCACACACCGCGGGAAUGGGAUGAGCUCAGGGCUUCCAUCCCAUCAGUCAAUAAAUUCCCCAUAGGAUGCCUAACCGGA